rnacentral:lncRNA from 1 species
GGAGGCUGAUUUCUCAUUGUAAGGAGGAGUAGCUCUCCGCAGAGCCUCGGGAGAUAGGCUCAGGUCAGGAGGCUAAUUGCUGGUGAAAUAGCAUCGAAGGGGAAGGGAGAAAGAUGAAGAAAGAAAGCUCUGUCUCUGAAGCCUGCCUGCCUUUGAGGUUCUUCACCCAUAGGAGACAGAGUAAUUCAGAGACUCCAUCUGGCUUCUUGCCCUGGAUGCUGACCAGUUUGCUUCUGUGACAUUAACCUGGUGCCUGAGAGUCUGAGUGUCAACUAUACAUAAAAGAUUUGAAAAUGAAUAUCACUCAGAGGACAAUGAAGAGCCACUUAAUGGAGGGAGGAUCAUCUCCAGACCUGUAAUACUGAGCAAACAGUUAAAAUGGAAAUUAAAAUCAGGAAAGCAUACUUUACUAGGUAAGGGAAAGAUUAAAAAGCCUGAAAAGACCUGGUACUGGCCUCACUUUCUAACAACUUGGAAAGAUAUUUGUUUCCAAGAUAUUCAAAGCUAUUUGAUUGUGAUAUCUGAAAAUAGUAUUUUAUUCUCUAUCUCUCGUUAUAUGUAUUGUUUUGUUUUUAUCUUCUCUUGACUUUAUUUUUACAGAUGUCAAUUCAAUUCUCAAUUCUUUCUGGGUUCCAAAUCACAGUCUAAGAUUAGGAGUAUAGUUCUGUCCUUCUUUCUCUUCCUGGGACAUUGCAUCAGAUCUUGUCUCGCAUGCCUGCAAUGUACCCCUCCAUGCCUCAGUCUUAUGAGAAAUACUUUUCCUUUUAAACAGAGAUCAAACAUGAUGUUUUUCAUGAAACCCUCUCUGAGCCACCCAAAUGCUAUUACCUUCACUGUAAGAUUGUUUUAUUUAACUUCUGCUUUGUAAAUAUUUGUAUAUAUUCACUUUUGUUCAUGAUAAGGGGUGUGGUAUGGAGGUCUUGUUGUGCCCUCCUAGGCCAGCUCUCCAGCCUCUGACCCCUAUCUGAUACCUAGCUCUCACUUGUGGCUCCUAGUAGCUGCUAGCAUGCGGCAGCGGCCACACCCCGGGCAAUGGCUUCGACAGGCUGGCUAAACCUUGUGAGGGUUGUGUUAUAAAAAAUUCAAAGAUUUUGAUUCUGUUUGAGAAAAGAUCUUCAAGAAAGAAGCUUGAAACUUUUAUAUCCAGAGAAUGAACUGUUGCAGAAAGAUGCCGAAAACCUACACUUCAUCAAGAAGAUCAAGAAUGAACUUUGGAUGUGAUUGAUUGGACUGAACUUUUGAUUGAACAUUUAUUGUAACUGUAUACAUUUAUGCCAAAAGGCACUGCCCCUAAUUUGGCUUUCUGUCAAUGUGCCUAGCAAAACAUUGGUUUUGCUUUCUUUUCUUUUCUAUUUCCUCUCUCACUGUUCUAAUUUCUCUUAGAAAAUUGAAUAUUGUGUAUAUCUAUAGUUAGAAGUGCAUUUAGAACUACAAAUUGAUUAUGUUAAAUGAUCAAUGGGGAGACUAGUCUCCCAAUGAUCAUCGGGGGGAUUGUAAACCUUAAAAUUUUUUAAGACUUAUAAAUGUUGGAAAUUUCACCAUUGGGAAUUUUCAUGCUUGUAGGGAAUUUCAUACUGAUAGUGGGA